UCGGAAUUACUGGGCGUAAAGCGCAUGCAGGUGGUUUGUUAAGUCAGAUGUGAAAGACCCGGGGCGUCAACCUCGGAAUAGCAUUUGUAAACUAGGCAGACUAGAGUACUGUAGAGGGGGGUAGGAAUUUCAGGUGUAGCGGUGAAAUAGCGUAGAGAUCUGAAGGAAUACCGGUGGCGAAGGCGGCCCCCUCGGACAGAUACUGACACUCAGAUGCGAAAGCGUGGGGAGCAAACAGGAUUAGAUACCCUGGUAG
rnacentral:rRNA from 1 species